CCUACGGGAGGCUGCAGUGGGGAAUAUUGCGCAAUGGGCGAAAGCCUGACGCAGCGACGCCGCGUGAGGGAUGAAGGUCUUCGGAUCGUAAACCUCUGUCAGCAGGGAAGAACGGUCACUGUGCUAAUCAGCAGUGAAUUGACGGUACCGGAAAAGGAAGCAUCGGCUAACUCCGGCCCAGCCGCCGCGGCAAUACGGAGGGUGCGAGCGUUAAUCGGAAUUACUGGGCGUAAAGCGCCCUUAUGCGGCAGGUCAAGGUAAGGGUGAAAGCCCCGCGCCCAACGUGGGAAGUGCCUUUGAAACUGGCAAACUGGAGUGUGUGAGAGGUAAGUGGAAUGCCAGGUGUAGGAGUGAAAUCCGUAGAUAUCUGGCGGAACAUCGGUGGCGAAGGCGACAAUCUGGCACAUAACUGACGCUGAGGAGCGAAAGCGUGGGUAGCAAACAGGAUUAGAUACCCGUGUAGUC
rnacentral:rRNA from 1 species